UAGUGAGUUUGAUCCUGGCUCAGAACGAACGCUGGCGGCAGGCUUAACACAUGCAAGUCGAACGCACCUUUCGGGGUGAGUGGCAGACGGGUGAGUAACGCGUGGGAACGUGCCCUUCAGUUCGGGAUAACUCAGGGAAACUUGAGCUAAUACCAGAUACGUCCGAGAGGAGAAAGAUUUAUCGCCGAGGGAUCGGCCCGCGUCUGAUUAGGUAGUUGGUGGGGUAAUGGCCUACCAAGCCGACGAUCCAUAGCUGGUUUGAGAGGAUGAUCAGCCACACUGGGACUGAGACACGGCCCAGACUCCUACGGGGAGGCAGCAGUGGGGAAUCUUAGACAAUGGGGGCAACCCUGAUCUAGCCAUGCCGCGUGAGUGAUGAAGGUCCCUU
rnacentral:rRNA from 1 species